rnacentral:rRNA from 1 species
UACGUAGGGGGCUAGCGUUGUCCGGAAUCAUUGGGCGUAAAGAGCGUGUAGGCGGCCCGGUAAGUCCGCUGUGAAAGUCGGGGGCUCAACCCUCGAAUGCCGGUGGAUACUGUCGGGCUAGAGUGCGGAAGAGGCGAGUGGAAUUCCUGGUGUAGCGGUGAAAUGCGCAGAUAUCAGGGGGAACACCAAUUGCGAAGGCAGCUCGCUGGGACGUAACUGACGCUGAGACGCGAAAGCGUGGGGAGCAAACAGG